CAUAUAUACCCUUUUUUUGGGUUAGUAAAUAUUUUAUCGAAUCACAUUAUGCCUAGCAUAAUUAGUAUACACUCCCCAUCUUCUAGAAGGAUUUGAGAGGAUACUCAAAUUAUGUGCUACUGUUAUUACAACCAAGGUAGGGGAAUGCGAGUGAAAAGGAAGCCAACAACCGCAGCGGUUAUGAAGAACAAAAGAUGGAACUUGUGUGUGACUAUCAUGCA
rnacentral:lncRNA from 1 species